GCUUCUCGGGAAGGUGAUGUUCACCGAGAACGACGUCACCACCAUUAGCGCACGCUACAUCCCUAUUGCAGUGGAGAUCGCGAAUGCAACUUGUGGUGACGACAUCACACAGAGGAGUUGGGGUUCGGCUGUCUUAGCGGCUACGUAUCGAGGAGUUGUUUGACUUAGAACACAUCGACCUGAUUACUUUCGUGACAAUUUGGACACGUAACAAGAGACGUUUUGCACAUAAUCAGGUCAGGAAUUGCUACCCAUCAUUCAACGAGCAGUUCGACGUGUUGCACUCUGAGGCGAUUGUCUGGGAGCCGUACACACAGGACGCCAUCGAUGAUAGAUACCCUGGAGGGAUGUCCAUGGUCUGCAUGAGAGAUUACGCUUACUGGAUGACAAAAUCAAAGAUCAUCUUCGACGUCAGCGUGGAGGAGACGGCCCAGCAGAGGGUCAUGAGGCAGUUUGGGGCACGCCAGUUGGUUUACCAGGAAGGGAAGUACCAGGACCCAGACUCAGUGGC